rnacentral:rRNA from 1 species
AACGAACGCUGGCGGCAUGCCUAACACAUGCAAGUCGAACGAGACCUUCGGGUCUAGUGGCGCACGGGUGCGUAACGCGUGGGAACCUGCCCUUAGGUUCGGAAUAACUCCCCGUAAGGGGUGCUAAUACCGGAUAAUGUCUUCGGACCAAAGAUUUAUCGCCUUUGGAUGGGCCCGCGUUGGAUUAGCUAGUUGGUAGGGUAAAAGCCUACCAAGGCGACGAGCCAUAGCUGGUCUGAGAGGAUGAUCAGCCACACUGGGACUGAGACACGGCCCAGACUCCUACGGGAGGCAGCAGAGGGGAAUAUUGGACAAUGGGCGAAAGCCUGAUCCAGCAAUGCCGCGUGAGUGAUGAAGGCCUUAGGGUUGUAAAGCUCUUUUACCCGGGAUGAUAAUGACAGUACCGGGAGAAUAAGCUCCGGCUAACUCCGU